rnacentral:tRNA from 1 species
GGGGAUAUAGCUCAGUUGGUAGAGUGCUUGCUUCGCAUGCACAAGGCCCUGGGUUCAAUCCCAGCACCA